rnacentral:rRNA from 1 species
UACGUAGGUGGCAAGCGUUGUCCGGAUUUAUUGGGCUUAAAGGGUGCGUAGGCGGCCCUGUAAGUCAGUGGUGAAAUCCUCCAGCUUAACUGGAGGGGUGCCAUUGAUACUGCAGGGCUUGAGUGGAGUCGAAGUAGGCGGAAUUGACGGUGUAGCGGUGAAAUGCUUAGAUAUCGUCAAGAACACCGAUAGUGAAGACAGCUUACUAGGCUUCUACUGACGCUGAGGCACGAAAGUGUGGGGAGCAAACAGG